rnacentral:rRNA from 1 species
UGUGCCCUACGGGGCGCAGCAGUGAGGAAUAUUGGUCAAUGGCCGGAAGGCUGAACCAGCCAAGCCGCGUGAAGGACGAAGGUGCCAAGCAUUGUAAACUUCUUUUGUCAAGGGACAAAAUCAGGCUCGAGAGCCUGACCGAGGGUACUUGAAGAAAAAGCUCCGGCUAACUACGUGCCAGCAGCCGCGGUAAUACGUAGGGAGCGAGCGUUGUCCGGAAUUACUGGGUGUAAAGGGAGCGUAGGCGGGACGGCAAGUCAGAUGUGAAAACU